AUCUUUUAUUAUUUCUGUUAUUUGUUUUAAGACGUUAUUUAAUUUAUUGUUAAUAUCUCGUUUGUUUAUUAAAUAAGGUUAUACUUAUAAACACGUGUUGUAGCACAACAGCUACUUCAGUUUCACUUUAAUUCCACACUAUAGAUGUCCUAUCGCGUUCGUUAACUUUUUGCACCAUCUAGCGGUGUACCACAGUAAAUAUUUUUGUAACGCAAUGGGGCAUCUAGUACUGUAACCGUAGGAACACGUAGGAUUAAGACUUCUUGAAUGCAAAUGAACGUAAUGAGAUAUUAGUGCUUCAAGUAAAGAAACAAACGCAUCCGGACAUAAUAGAGCUGUGGCUAGUUUGUGGCGAUAUCUGUGAAAUUGUCUUCGAGCGUUUAUUGACUUGUGUCAAUUGAAAUUAUCGGAACAUUGUUAUUGUUACCAAAUUCAAAAUAUCAAACAGUCAGUUUUACGGUGGAUCAAAAAUAAAAUUAAACGUAAAAUUAAAAUUUUGUACAUUAAUAAUGGUAUAAAAAUAUUAUUCACUGUUAAGUGUCUUACAUAAUCAUUGCUUUAGUGCUUUAAAUUGGAUUUUUAUCAUUUUUCUUUUUACAAACGUCGUUGGAUUAAUCAUGAACGACCGAGCAACCGUUAUAAAAGAAUAUUAUAUUAAUCUAGAUUAUAUUCAGAUUAAUAAAAUAGCAGCGGAAAGAAAAAUGUCUAUUUUACUUGAGCAAGUAACAAAUAAAUACUCCAAUACUUUAGCAGAAAGAUUUUAUGAAGUAGCAUCUGUAAUAAAAGAAAAUUGGUUUUUUUUUGCAUCAUUAUGUAAACACAUAGAUAUAGUUACAACUAUUGUACAAUAUUUGAUCGAUAUUGGUGACAUGAUAAAAAUGAAUUUGUGUUUUGAUAAUAACUAUAAUGUUGACAAAACAAGGACGCUAACAUUUUUAACACUUUAUAAUGUAUGUCCAGAAGUUACAGUCCGUUCAUUUUUGU